UCCACCCGCCAACCUGAAGGAAUUGCCGGGUUCGGUCGCAGCAUGGAGUCUCUUCCUCUACAAUUGGGACUCAAGAAAUUCUCUUACUGUUUGGUAUCUCGCCGCUUCGACAACACUCAGGUGAGCAGCGACCUUAUUCUGGAUAUGGGUUCGGAUUCCGGCGAUGCCAAGACCCCUGGCCUUAACUACACAAAGUUUGUAAAGAAUCCAGUGAGGUCAAACUCGGCAUUUCAAGAAUAUUACUACGUAAUACUGCAAAAAAUUGUAGUCGGCGACAAACAUGUUAAAGUUCCUUACAAUUUGUCGGUGCCGCAAUCUGACGGCAAUGGAGGG
rnacentral:misc_RNA from 1 species